UACGUAGGUGGCAAGCGUUGUCCGGAUUUAUUGGGUUUAAAAGGUGCGUAGGCGGUUUUCUAAGUCAGCAGUGAAAUACGGCAGCUCAACUGUCGAGGUGCUGUUGAUACUGGGGAACUUGAGUACUGAUGAGGUAGGCGGAAUGGACGGUGUAGCGGUGAAAUGCUUAGAGAUCGUCCAGAACACCGAUAGCGAAGGCAGCUUACUAAGGAGUAACUGACGCUGAGGCACGAAAGUGUGGGGAUCAAACAGG
rnacentral:rRNA from 1 species